rnacentral:rRNA from 1 species
GACGAACGCUGGCGGCGUGCUUAACACAUGCAAGUCGAGCGGUAAGGCCCUUUCGGGGGUACACGAGCGGCGAACGGGUGAGUAACACGUGGGUGACCUGCCCUCAGCUCUGGGAUAAGCCCGGGAAACUGGGUCUAAUACUGGAUAUGACUCCAUGACGCAUGUUGUGGGGUGGAAAGCCUUGUGCGGCUGGGGGAUGGGCCCGCGGCCUAUCAGCUUGUUGGUGGGGUGAUGGCCUACCAAGGCGACGACGGGUAGCCGGCCUGAGAGGGCGACCGGCCACACUGGGACUGAGACACGGCCCAGACUCCUACGGGAGGCAGCAGUGGGGAAUCUUGCGCAAUGGGCGAAAGCCUGACGCAGCGACGCCGCGUGAGGGAUGACGGCCU